UUCAUCUGUGCUGGUCAGUGUGUGAGUCUGGUCUAGGUGGGGAAAAGGCCUGCUGUGUGUGUGACCAGCCUCACCAUGCGUGGCUCUUUGAGUUUGUGGAAGCACUUCCGUGCAGUUUCUCUCUGUCCCUUCCUGCUGAUCUUUCCAGCGUACAUGGCUUUUAUGAUCUGCCAGUUCUUCCACACGGACUUCUGGCUUCUCAUCAUCAUCUCCUCCUCAAUCCUCACCUCUCUCCAGGUGCUUGGCACUCUGUUGACCUGUUGUUCUCUUCAUGGUGGAGGAGUUUCGUAAAGCUCCAGUGGAGAACAUGGAUGAAGUCAUAUAUUGUGUAAAUGGGACCUACAGAUUGCUGGAGGUUCUGGUUGCGGUGUGCUGUGGUGUAUCAGAGACUGUAUUUGGCGAGUGGAGUAUGAUGGGAAGCACCAUCAUCUUGGUCCACUCAUACUAUAACGUCUGGCUCAGAGCCCAGCUGGGCUGGCAGAGCUUCCUGCUCAGGAGAGAUGCUGUAAACAAGAUAAAAAGCCUCCCCACAGCUAGCAAUACACAGCUGGAGCAGUAUAACGACAUCUGUGCUAUACCUUGUGUGUCACCUCUGACACCAAGAACUGCAGCAAGCGUUUGGUGCUAGAGGUCACAUUUUGAGUUUGUGAAGCUAUUUAAGGUAGACACACGUAAUUAGCGGCAGCUGUGUUGUUGAUCGGGAGGAAGCAAACAGUUUGUGACCGCUGCGCUGCUGUUAAAUCCUAGAAAUAAAGAAUCUGAAGGACAAGAUGAGUAAGGCUGGAGUUAUUGGACUGUAUCAAGUUUAAUAACUUCAUGCAUACCAGUGACAUCGCGUCACCCCCGCCAACGAACACCCCAGUGGCUUCAAGCCUGGGCUUAGCCUCUACAGGAGAGGUUUCAGCCAUGUGUGUCCAUCACAAGCCCACCACCAUGAUCUCAGGCCUUGAGGCAACAAUCAUGAAAACUAAUCUUAACUGAGAGUGUUGGAUGUCCUCAUUGUUGCAGAGCACAUGGACAGCUUACUCACCUGGUUCUGUGGGCCAGCAGCACAUGUCACACCAUCCAUCACCCUUGUCAUCACAUUCAAUCUUGGUCUGAGAGAAACCUGAAGACAGAAACGUUCAAUG